CGUCAUACAAUGGUGCUACGAGGGUUGCCACCCGCGAGGUGGAGCUAUAUCCCUUAAAAUGCAUCGUAUUCCGGAUCGAAUUCGGCAACUCAACUACUUGAAGCUGGAAUCGCUAGUAAUCGCGGAUCACCAUGCCGCGGUGAAUACGUCCCCGGGUCUUGUACACACCGCCCGUCACACCAUGGGAGUGGUUUUUGCCAGAAGUAGUUAGCCUACCCGUAAGGAGGGCGAUUACCACGGCAGGGUUCAUGACUGGGGUGAAGUCGUAACAAGGUAGCCGUAUCGGAAGGUGCGGUUGGAUCACCUCCU
rnacentral:rRNA from 1 species